rnacentral:rRNA from 1 species
GAUGAACGCUGGCGGCGUGCCUAAUACAUGCAAGUCGAGCGAACGGACGAUAAGCUUGCUUUUCUGAUGUUAGCGGCGGACGGGUGAGUAACACGUGUAUAACCUACCUAUAAGACUGGUAUAACUUCGGGAAACCGGAGCUAAUACCGGAUAAUAUUUUGCACCGCAUGGUUCAAAAGUGAAAGACGGUCUUGCUGUCACUUAUAGAUGCAUCCGGGCUGCAUUAGCUAGUUGGUAAGGUAACGGCUUACCAAGGCAACGAUGCAUAGCCGACCUGAGAGGGUGAUAGCCCACACGGGAACUGAGACACGGUCCAGACUCCUACGGGAGGGAGCAGAAGGGAACCUUACGCAACGGGCGAGAGCCUGACGGAGCAACGCGGAGUGAGUGAUGACGGCGCUCGGAUCGUAAAACUCUGCUAUUAGGGAAGAACAUAUGUGUAAGUAACUGUGCCCAUCUUGACGGUACUUAAUCAGAAAGCAACGGCUAACUACGUG